UUAAGGUCCAUUUUUCAUUGUUAACAAGUUUAUUUAGAGUUUUAACGGAUUAGAACGGAGAAAAUAGCAUUAUAAACUCGUUUGUUGUUUUGUUGGGAUUUAUGGAUUAAGGGGCUGUUUUAGGUGGAUUAAAUUGAUGGAAUUAGCUGAGUUAUGAUGUAUAAUAAUUGUUGACAUUGUUGUUGAAGUUGUUGAUAAGUUGUUGUUCUUGAAUUUGGGAGAAUAAAGUGUAUAAAGAUAUUGUAUACAAAGCGUAUACCGGGCUGUUUUGUGCCGAUAUUUGGGGCUGUUUUAUGUAAUUUUCGUGGCUAUUUAUUGACAAUAUUUUGGGGCUGUUUUAUGUAAUUUUCGUGGCUGUUUUAUGACAAAAUUUUGGAGCUGCUUUAUGUAUUUUUCGUGGUUAUUUUGUGACUAUAUUUUGGAGCUGUUUGGUAUAACAUUUGUGGCUGUUUUGCGAUGAUAUUUUGGGGACUGUUUUAUGGUCGUUAUGGGCUGGAAUAUCGGGGGAUUGGCUGUAGUUGUUGUUGUUAUAUUAUGAAUAUACGGAAAUAAAGAAGUGUAUACAAGCAUUGACAUCCGAAUGUAUAUUGGGCUGUUUUGGGAGUAAUUUAAGAAUGGAUUUAAGUCUAGUUUGAUAUGAAAUUGUUGGUGUUGUUGUUGGUGGUAUUUUGAUUGACGUUUGGCUAAGUUGGAAUUUUGAGGAUUGUUAAGUUUACAGGGGAAAUGCUGCCCAAUUUUCUCUAGAAUUUACGACGCGUUCUUAUAAUCUAUUAACUAAUGUUAAUAUGAAUUCUCCCGUGAAGGUAACAACGUGACAUUGGGGAGAGCAAGUGAACGAUAACAUAGCUAAACGACAAAGGUAGACAGGGAGGUGAGCUUGGUCCAGACCCUUAGUAGCUGUCAGCUGAUUGAGAGCACUCCAUUGUCCGGAGGUGCUUAUGAUUCUUCUUUUGGUAUAUAUGCAUAUUUUGGGCACGACGGAGUCUUGUUCCGUCUAUAUGUUUAGUAUGUCAGUAGAGGCUCGUAGAUACGCAGUGUGGGUCAGAUGGUCUCACAAGAUGUUAUUAUUAUGUAUAUAUUAUUUUGAUGGCCGAGAGGAAAAUGUAUAUAAGUAUUUAUGUUUCUAUAUAAAAUAUGAUUUUCCUACAA